rnacentral:miRNA from 1 species
CCACCUGUCAAUCAAUACCACC